rnacentral:rRNA from 1 species
AGUGAACGCUGGCGGUAGGCCUAACACAUGCCAGUCGAACGGCAGCACAGUAAGAGCUUGCUCUUACGGGUGGCGAGUGGCGGACGGGUGAGGAAUACAUCGGAAUCUACUUUUUCGUGGGGGAUAACGUAGGGAAACUUACGCUAAUACCGCAUACGACCUACGGGUGAAAGCAGGGGAUCUUCGGACCUUGCGCGAUUGAAUGAGCCGAUGUCGGAUUAGCUAGUUGGCGGGGUAAAGGCCCACCAAGGCGACGAUCCAUAGCUGGUCUGAGAGGAUGAUCAGCCACACUGGAACUGAGACACGGUCCAGACUCCUACGGGAGGCAGCAGUGGGGAAUAUUGGACAAUGGGCGCAAGCCUGAUCCAGCCAUACCGCGUGGGUGAAGAAGGCCUUCGGGUUGUAAAGCCCUUUUGUUGGGAAAUAAAAGCAGCAGGUUAAUACCCCGCUGUUCUGACGGUACCCAAAGAAUAAGCACCGGCUAACUUCGUG